CUUUCUUUGCUGGCGACCGGCGCACGGGUGAGUAACACGUAUCCAACCUGCCCUUUACUCGGGGAUAGCCUUUCAAAAGAAAGAUUAAUACCCGAUAGCAUAAUGAUUCCGCAUGGUUUCAUUAUUAAAGGAUUCCGGUAAAGGAUGGGGAUGCGUUCCAUUAGGUUGUUGGUGAGGUAACGGCCCACCAAGCCUUCGAUGGAUAGGGGUUCUGAGAGGAAGGUCCCCCACAUUGGAACUGAGACACGGUCCAA
rnacentral:rRNA from 1 species